rnacentral:rRNA from 1 species
GAUGAACGCUGGCGGCGUGCUUAACACAUGCAAGUCGAACGGCACUACACCAAUGAGAGUCUUCGGAAGGGAUUGGGUUUCGUAUAGUGGCGGACUGGUGAGUAACCCGUUGGUAACCGGCGCUAAACAGGGGGAUAAUAGCUGGAAACGACCGUUAAUACUACAUAAGCGCGCAGGAGCGCAUGCUCCCGUGCGCAAAACUCUGGUUGUAUAGGAUGGAACCGCGUCUGAUUGGCAGGGUGGCGGGCGAACGGCCCACCAAGGCGACGAUCAGUAGCCGGGCAGUGAGGGUCAGCGGCCACAUUGGGGCUGAGACACGGCGCGGACUCCUAGGGGAGGGGGCAGAGGGGAAUAUUGCACAAUCGGGGAGACCCUGAAGCAGCUACGCUGCGUGAGCGAAGUAGUAUCGAAAGAAGUAAAGCUCUAUAAGCAGGGGAGGAUAUGACGGUACCUAACGAAUAAGCCCCGGCUAACUUCGUG